UACGUAGGGGGCGAGCGUUGUCCGGAUUUAUUGGGCGUAAAAGGCUUGUAGGUGGCCACGUCAAGUCGGAUGUGAAAGCCCACGGCUCAACCGUGGAGGGUCAUUGGAAACUGGGGGACUUGAGUACAGAAGAGAAGAGUGGAAUUCCACGUGUAGCGGUGAAAUGCGUAGAGAUGUGGAGGAACACCAGUGGCGAAGGCGACUCUUUGGUCUGUAACUGACGCUGAGGCGCGAAAGCGUGGGGAGCAAACAGG
rnacentral:rRNA from 1 species